UUGAACGCUGGCGGCAUGCUUUACACAUGCAAGUCGAACGGCAGCGGGGGCUUCGGCCUGCCGGCGAGUGGCGAACGGGUGAGUAAUGCAUCGGAACGUGCCCAGUCAUGGGGGAUAACUACGCGAAAGCGUAGCUAAUACCGCAUACGCCCUGAGGGGGAAAGCGGGGGAUCGCAAGACCUCGCGUGAUUGGAGCGGCCGAUGUCGGAUUAGCUAGUUGGUGGGGUAAAGGCCUACCAAGGCGACGAUCCGUAGCGGGUCUGAGAGGAUGAUCCGUCACACUGGAACUGAGACACGGUCCAGACUCCUACGGGAGGCAGCAGUGGGGAAUUUUGGACAAUGGGGGCAACCCUGAUCCAGCCAUUCCGCGUGAGUGAAGAAGGCCUUCGGGUUGUAAAGCUCUUUCAGCCGGAACGAAACGGUACGCUCUAACAUAGCGUGCUAAUGACGGUACCGGCAGAAGAAGCACCGGCUAACUACGU
rnacentral:rRNA from 1 species